rnacentral:rRNA from 1 species
GACAGAGGGUGCAAACGUUGUUCGGAAUUACUGGGCGUAAAGCGCGCGUAGGCAGCAGCGUGUGUCGGGCGUGAAAUCCCACGGCUCAACCGUGGAAGUGCACUCGAAACUGCGCAGCUAGAGUCUCGGAGAGGAAGGCGGAAUGCUUGGUGUAGAGGUGAAAUUCGUAGAUAUCAAGCGGAACACCGGUGGCGAAGGCGGCCUUCUGGACGAUGACUGACGCUGAAGCGCGAAAGCGUGGGGAGCAAACAGGAUUAGAUACCCUGGUAGUCCACGCCGUAAACGAUGAGUGCUAGGUGUCACGGGCUUUGACCCUCGUGGUGCCGCAGCUAACGCGUUAAGCACUCCGCCUGGGGAGUACGGCCGCAAGGCUAAA